AUGUUCACUUUGGCAGCACAUAUACUAAAAUUGGAACGAUAGAGAUUAGCAUGGCCCCUGCGCAAGGUAUGACACGAAUUCGUGAAGUGUUCCAUAUUAAU
rnacentral:snRNA from 1 species